rnacentral:rRNA from 1 species
UACGUAGGGACCGAGCGUUGUCCGGAUUUACUGGGCGUAAAGAGCGCGCAGGCGGUCGUUCAAGUCGAGUGUGAAAGCCCCCGGCUCAACUGGGGAGGGUCACUCGAUACUGAUCGACUUGAAGGCAGGAGAGGGAAGCGGAAUUCCCGGUGUAGUGGUGAAAUGCGUAGAUAUCGGGAGGAACACCAGUGGCGAAGGCGGCUUCCUGGCCUGCUCUUGACGCUGAGGCGCGAAAGCUAGGGUAGCAAACGGG